ensembl:lncRNA
CCCCAGCGCGGGGACCGGGCGGGACCGGACGGGCGGGGAGCGGCGGUGCGGGCUCGUGUCGGGGGAAACGGGGCACAGCGGGCGACACGUAACAUAUAUAACACAUAGAGCACGUCUAACACAUGGAACAGAACAUGGGUAACAUACUGCAGCUAUUAAAGAAACAUGUAACACACAUGACACAUAUAACGCAUAACAUAGCACACAUAAACACAUAUAACACACAGCACACAUGACACACAUAGUACAUAUAACAAAAUAACUGCCCUGGGGAACACGUUCCGUGUGUUGUGUUUGAUCCCCCUGCAGUGGGAGGUGAAGCAGCCUCGUGGUGCCCCAGCACCGAGAGCAGCACGGCGAGACACCCAGAUCCUCAUAAAAGUGGCUGAUAAAUAUUUUGGGUUUAAAUGAGUGAUGUGUGUGGAGAAGAGGCGAUCGUGGGGCAUAAGGGUGCUUCAGUGGGAGCCCUCGGGUCCCCCAGGGCUUGGCUGCAUGGGCAGGAACGCAGGAUGCUCCCUCUGGGAAGCCCUGUGCCCACACGAAACUGCUGCACAGGCCUGGAUGAAGAUGCCUGGAUAUUGGGAAUGGGGAACCAGGAGGGGACAGGCACAGUUAAGACAUUUUUUCUGAUGCUAAAAAUUCCAGUGAGAGUGUGACCUCCAGACUGUGUCAGCUCUGUGCUAAGUGAACCCUCACUGGAGCAGUGAUGGUACAAGAUGGGAUAUCCUGGAAAUCAAAUGCAGGGCUUGGUGCUGGCAGGUCCUUGCUGAGUCAGGAAUUGCUCACUCCAUGUUGGAUAAGGGCUGCCUCUUCCUUCACAGGAAAAUUUUCAGGUGUUGGACUCUACCCUCUCCUCCCUGCAGUGCUGGAGCUCGGGUCACUGCAGCCUCUGGAGUCACUGAGGAGGAGCAGUGGGGACCAGCAGAGUCCCUGCACGUCACUGCAGAUCAGCCAGGGCCAGGUCCAGGAGGGAUUCUGGCAGGACUUCCAACCACUGCCAGUCAAUCACCUGCAGCUGGAAGAGGAUGUUUCUCUGUUGCCCAGGGCUUUUGAUGCCAGCUGUGAGUCUGGAACAUUGCUUUGCUGUCCCUGUGACCCUGAUAGGAAAUAAUUACAUCCUCAGAGUUGCUGCAGAGGACCUGGCAAGGCUCUGAAGGCUCAGUGCCACAGUGAGAACUGCUGGGAGGGAGGAACAUAAAAGCUAAGCCUGGCAGGUGUUUCCUGUUUCUACAGUUCAUGUUUACAUUGUCUAUAUUUUGUGUUUACAUGGGGCAGAUGCUUCUGCCACCCCUCCUGAGUCCUGGGAAAGUGUAAUGAGAGUGAACUGAACAGCUGAGAUUUUCUUCAGUUUUCUUUAUCUGCCCUUCUUCCUGCAGUAUGAUCCUUCACAUGAUGCUCAGUGAAAUUCAGGCAGUUAUUUCAAACAGAAAAAGGCCUAAAUGAACUCGGUCUAUCUAUCUAUCUAUCUAUCUAUCUAUCUAUCUAUCUAUCUAUCUAUCUAUCUCAGACAAAUCUGCUGCAUGAUCCCCAGUAGGGGAACACAAAUGCUUUCCCUGAUCUGCUGCUAUGAACAAACUUCACUGUUUGAAAAUUGGUUAUCAUCCCCCCACUACUGUAACUUUCCUACAGAUGGAGAAAUAAACAAAUUCAUCAAAUAAUAAUUUUUACUUGU